UACAGAGGGUGCGAGCGUUAAUCGGAAUUACUGGGCGUAAAGGGUGCGUAGGCGGAUAGCUAAGUUAGAUGUGAAAUCCCCGGGCUUAACCUGGGAAUUGCAUUUAAGACUGGUUGACUAGAGUAGAGUAGAGGGAAGUGGAAUUUCCGGUGUAGCGGUGAAAUGCGUAGAUAUCGGAAAGAACAUCAGUGGCGAAGGCGGCUUCCUGGACUCAUACUGACGCUGAGGCACGAAAGCGUGGGGAGCAAACAGG
rnacentral:rRNA from 1 species